GAUGAACGCUGGCGGCGUGCCUAAUACAUGCAAGUCGAGCGAACAGACGAGGAGCUUGCUCCUCUGACGUUAGCGGCGGACGGGUGAGUAACACGUGGAUAACCUACCUAUAAGACUGGGAUAACUUCGGGAAACCGGAGCUAAUACCGGAUAAUAUAUUGAACCGCAUGGUUCAAUAGUGAAAGACGGUUUUGCUGUCACUUAUGGAUGGAUCCGCGCCGCAUUAGCUAGUUGGUAAGGUAACGGCUUACCAAGGCAACGAUGCGUAGCCGACCUGAGAGGGUGAUCGGCCACACUGAACUGAGACACGGUCCAGACUCCUACGGGAGGCAGCAGUAGGGAAUCUUCCGCAAUGGGCGAAAGCUUGACGGAGCAACGCCGCGUGAGUGAUGAAGGUCUUCGGAUCGUAAAACUCUGUUAUUAGGGAAGAACAAAUGUGUAAGUAACUAUGCACGUCUUGACGGUACCUAAUCAGAAAGCCACGGCUAACUACGUG
rnacentral:rRNA from 1 species